GACGAACCGUGCGAACGUUGUUCGGAAUCACUGGGCUUAAAGGGCGCGUAGGCGGGCUGACCAGUCUGGGGUGAAAUGCCGCGGCUCAACCGUGGAACUGCCUUAGAUACUGUCGGCCUCGAGGAAGGUAGGGGCAUGCGGAACUGUAGGUGGAGCGGUGAAAUGCGUUGAUAUCUACAGGAACUCCGGUGGCGAAAGCGGCGUGCUGGACCUUUUCUGACGCUGGGGCGCGAAAGCUAGGGGAGCAAACGGG
rnacentral:rRNA from 1 species